rnacentral:lncRNA from 1 species
AUGGUAAUAGACUUCCGUUCACCCUCCGAGGUGGCCCAGUGCUUCCUGCUGCUACCUAACCAUCAAUUUGAUUUGAAGAAGAAGAGAGAAGGAGCAAAAGACUCCAUCCGUGUUAGAUCUAGCAAGGAUCGAGGUGCUUCCCCGGCCAGCUGGAGCACGCGUGGCCAGGAGCGGCAGCAAACGCAGCUCGGUGCAGGCAGACGUGGCUACGUCCCGGCGAACCUGCUGAGCUGUUCUCUGCCCUUGGCUACAGUGCAAGUUAACAUCAACAGCAUCCCACAGGCCUCCUGACCUGCCUGGGGAGCGGCGUUUGUCAGCUCCACGGUGCGUUUGGGGGCUGCUUCAUGCCUUACUGGGUGACGUGAAGUUGUGCCUAGGCGGCAGCACCAGCAACCAGGUAGGACAGUGGGGCUUCAGAGGGGCCUUCCUGGUGAACGGCAAGAUUGAUCCGCACAAGCUGCGGUGUCCGAGCCAAAAACAGCAUUCUCCCUGGACACGCGCACCCUGGUGUCAGUCUCCCGCAUUUGAUCAAUACUGCUUUCUAUUUGGAACAGGAAAUGAAUUGUUUCACUCCGGGGAAGAUCCAGAUUGACUCAGUAUUUGACUCUGGCCAGCACCUGACCUGCAUGAAGAGGGAAGGGACAUGGUCGCUGCUUCCCGGUGCUCUAGUGCUAACUUGGCCUGGUGUGGUGCUGCCUGGCGUUCGGUGUGCCUCUGCGAAAAUCAGUAGGGUAGUUCUGUCAGGAGCCCUGAGGAGCAUCGGGAGCCUCGUGCUUAUUUCUCUCAAUAUCUUUCACAAAUAACCCAGGUAUCGCCAGAGCGUCUUCGCUUUCCUGAGCGUGCAGGCUUUGCCCACGAGUCCCGCAGACUGACUGCCGCGGGGGGGGGGGGGUGUUUUCCACAAAUGGAAGGAGUGAAAUCCAAUUUUCUACAGCUUCUGCCUUUAAACCCAAGAUCUUUGUGUCAAGCACUUUCUGCUGUUUAUCAGAUGUAUUGAGGGACUUCACCUCAUUUUUUUUUCUGAGCCGGCUUCCCUAGGUUUAGAUUUCUUUGCUGUGAUGAGAGCUGAGUGCUGGAUGCCGUUGGACUGGAGACAUGCUUCGCAGCAUGCUGUUUGUCUUUAUAGAAAGCUGCAUGCCAAAAAAAAGCAUAGACAAAACUGCCCAAAAAAAGGCUGGGCCAAAACUAUGGCCAAGGUGUAUGAACAGGGUGGAAAGCAGGAUAACCUGGUGGAUUGGGUAGACGUGACCUCGACUCCUCUUCUGGGCACUUCCUUGCUCUCAAGCUGUAA